UAUUAUUUAAAUUGGCAGAUUAUGUGUUAUAUUUAGAAUAUAAAGAAGAAAAUAAUAU
rnacentral:tRNA from 1 species